UGGUUCUGGCAUCGAUGAAGAACGCAGCGAAAUGCGAUAAGUAAUGCGAAUUGCAGAAUUCAGUGAGUCAUCGAAUCUUUGAACGCACAUUGCGCCCCUUAGUAUUCUAGAGGGCAUGCCUGUUCGAGCGUCAUUGUCACCUAUCAAGCCUGGCUUGCUGUUGGACCGAUGCCGGUGACCGGCAGGUCUCAAAGACGACGGCGGCGUCUAUCAGACCCUCGGAGCAACGAGCUCUGAUGAGCACGCUUUAGAGCGGGACGAUCGGCCCAGCCUUUCAGAAUGACCAUUUUUCACAAGGUUGACCUCGGAUCAGGUAGGAAUACCCGCUGA
rnacentral:misc_RNA from 1 species